rnacentral:rRNA from 1 species
GACGAACGCUGGCGGCGUGCUUAACACAUGCAAGUCGAACGGUAAGGCUCCAGCUUGCUGGGGUACACGAGUGGCGAACGGGUGAGUAACACGUGGGUGACCUGCCCUGCACUUCGGGAUAAGCCUGGGAAACUGGGUCUAAUACCGGAUAGGACCAUGGUGUGGAUACUGUGGUUGAAAGUUUUUUCGGUGUGGGAUGGGCCCGCGGCCUAUCAGCUUGUUGGUGGGGUAAUAGCCUACCAAGGCGGCGACGGGUAGCCGGCCUGAGGGGGUGGACGGCCACAUUGGGACUGAGACAACGCCCAGACGCCUACGGGAGGCAGCAGUGGGGAAUAUUGCACAAUGGGCGGAAGCCUGAUGCAGCGACGCCGCGUGGGGGAUGACGGCCUUCGGGUUGUAAACUCCUUUCACCAUCGACGAAGGGUUUCUGACGGUAGAUGGAGAAGAAGCACCGGCUAACUACGUG